GCCCGGAUAGCUCAGUCGGUAGAGCAGGGGAUUGAAAAUCCCCGUGUCCUUAGUUCGAUUCCGAGUCCGGGCACCA
rnacentral:tRNA from 1 species